UACGUAGGGUCCGAGCGUUGUCCGGAAUUACUGGGCGUAAAGAGCUCGUAGGUGGUUUGUCGCGUUGUUCGUGAAAACUCACAGCUCAACUGUGGGCGUGCGGGCGAUACGGGCAGACUAGAGUACUGCAGGGGAGACUGGAAUUCCUGGUGUAGCGGUGGAAUGCGCAGAUAUCAGGAGGAACACCGGUGGCGAAGGCGGGUCUCUGGGCAGUAACUGACGCUGAGAAGCGAAAGCGUGGGGAGCGAACAGG
rnacentral:rRNA from 1 species